GCAAGUCGAACGUGAAAAAAAUAUUUGCACCUAAGUUAGUGGCGAACGGGUGAGUAAUGCAUCGGAACGUACCGUGUAGUGGGGGAUAACCCGGCGAAAGUCGGAUUAAUACCGCAUACGAUCUAAGGAUGAAAGCAGGGGAUCGCAAGACCUUGCGCUAUACGAGCGGCCGAUGUCGGAUUAGCUAGUUGGUAGGGUAAAGGCCUACCAAGGCAACGAUCCGUAGCGGGUCUGAGAGGAUGAUCCGCCACACUGAGAAUGAGACACGGCCCAGACUCCUACGGGAGGCAGCAGUGGGGAAUUUUGGACAAUGGGCGAAAGCCUGAUCCAGCCAUGCCGCGUGAGUGAAGAAGGCCUUCGGGUUGCAAAGCUCUUUUGUCCGGGAGCAAAUCCUGUUCACUAAUACUGAGCGGGGCUGAGAGUACCGGAAGAAUAAGCACCGGCUAACUACGUGCCAGCAGCCGCGGUAAUACGUAGGGUGCGAGCGUUAAUCGGAAUUACUGGGCGUAAAGGGUGCGCAGGUGGUUACGUAAGUCUGAUGUGAAAGCCCCGGGCUCAACCUGGGAACUGCAUUGGAGACUGCGUGGCUAGAGUGUGGCAGAGGGGGGUGGAAUUCCGCGUGUAGCAGUGAAAUGCGUAGAGAUGCGGAGGAACACCAAUGGCGAAGGCAGCCCCCUGGGUUAACACUGACACUCAUGCACGAAAGCGUGGGGAGCAAACAGGAUUAGAUACCCUGGUAGUCCACGCCCUAAACGAUGUUUACUAGUUGUUGGGGUAGCAAUACCUUAGUAACGCAGCUAACGCGGAAGUAGACCGCCUGGGAUUACGCU
rnacentral:rRNA from 1 species